AUUGAACGCUGGCGGCAGGCCUAACACAUGCAAGUCGAGCGAGCGGCGGACGGGUUAGUAAUUUCUGGGAAACUGCCUGAUUGAGGGGGAUAACUACUGGAAACGGUCGCUAAUACCGCAUACCAUCAGAUGUGCCUCUAUGGGAUUAGCUAGUAGGUGGGGUAACGGCUCACCUAGGCGACGAUCCCUAGCUGGUCUGAGCGGAGGACCAGCCACACUGGAAAGGGGACAAGGGCCAGAGUACUACGGUAGGAAGCAGUGGGGAAUAUUGCACAAGGGGCGAAAGCAUGAUGCAGCAAUGCAGCGUGUGUGAAGAAGGCCUUCGGGUUGUAAAGCACUUUCAGCGGGGAGGCGUUAACCGCAGAAGAAGCACCGGGUAACUCCGUGCGAGCAGCCGCGGUAAUUC
rnacentral:rRNA from 1 species